GUAAAAUUAUAAUUUUAUAAAUAUAAAAAUAAAUUUUACAUUUACACAUAAGUCAAAACGAGAGAGUUCUCGGGGGACUGUGACGAAGCGUUUCAAUUUAAAUAUCCAAUUCCAAUAAACGAAUUAAAAUUGUAUAUGAAACUUUACACAAUUAGCCUCUCCAAUAAAAUGCAUACACAUACACAUGCCGUGUGACGUAGCCACACACUUAGAACAAAACGGAAGAAACAAAAAAAAGAAACAAGAACAAACAACACUUCUAACCAUGAAUCCCUUCAAGCAAGAAAACUGAGUUCAACAAAGACACUCCGCCCUCAGAACGCGAAAAAAGGGGUUGCACUCACACACUUGCAACUUUUUGUGUAUGAACACAAAAGUCGAAGGAGAAGCGUGGUGAAAAAUGAGAAAAGGAAAAGAAAGACAAGGCCAACAAGAGCCAAAGCGUCAUUUUGUUAUUUUUUGUUGAAGUGUUUGGUCGCGUCGUGUCUCGUGUCGUUGUUUGUAUAAUGUUAGUUUAUUAAUUAUAAACAAUUUUAUUAAAUUAUAAACAAUAUGGAAAACAAAAAAGAUGAAGAAAAAUCUAGAAGGUGAAACAUGCGAUUGGGAAUUAAAAAAAACACCAACAACAGCAGCAGCAUCAAAUGAAAUAAAAUAAAAAAAAAGUUAUUGUAUUUUAUAUUGUAUUUAUUGUGAAAAUUUCGUUUGCCAAAAUAAAAUAAAAAAUAAAACAGUUUCAGUGAAAAAAAAAUGAAUCUUGUUCUUUUUUUGGUCGCAAAUGCGAAAUGUCAUCCCUUUCUUAUUCCUCUUUCUGGUAGGUUUUUGCUGCUCCGGCUCAGGUCCGCCUUCGGCUCCGUUUUCUCGGAAUGGAGAUUUUCACCACACCAAUACAUAUGCAAUCGACUUCGCGGUGAUUAUAAUUUCCAUACUAAUUUGAGCCGCCUUCGGACCAGUUUCUGAUCCGAAGUCGGACUCAGCUCCGCCUCAGGCGGAGCGGAUUCGGACCGAGGUCGGACCUGUUUGCUUGAAGGGAUAC